UACGAAGGGGGCUAGCGUUGCUCGGAAUCACUGGGCGUAAAGGGCGCGUAGGCGGCCGAUCAAGUCGGGGGUGAAAGCCUGUGGCUCAACCACAGAAUUGCCUUCGAUACUGUUUGGCUUGAGACCGGAAGAGGUAAGUGGAACUGCGAGUGUAGAGGUGAAAUUCGUAGAUAUUCGCAAGAACACCAGUGGCGAAGGCGGCUUACUGGUCCGGUUCGUGACGCGUGAGGCGCGAAAGCGUGGGGAGCAAACG
rnacentral:rRNA from 1 species